rnacentral:lncRNA from 1 species
CCAUCAGUUACCUUCAAUCUGGUUUAGCCUGUCUGCCAAGAUGAUUGUUGUACAUUACUACAGCUUCUUGGAGCUGCAGGGUUUUUAGAUUAAUAAUAAUAAUAAUAUCAAGAUUUCACCAAGGUAUAUGGCAAAGGUUUUCAAACGUAUAGUCAACAGAGAGAAAUGUAGUUGAUGCAAUAAGAAAGCAUUGGACCUGGUAUUAGGAAGACUCCAGU